rnacentral:rRNA from 1 species
GUAGGGAAUAUUGCGCAAUGGACGAAAGUCUGACGCAGCGACGCCGCGUGAGUGAUGAAGGCCUUAGGGUCGUAAAGCUCUGUUGAAUGGGAAGAAAAAAAUGACGGUACCAUUCGAGGAAGGACCGGCUAACUUCGUGCCAGCAGCCGCGGUAAUACGAGGGGUCCUAGCGUUGUUCGGAAUCAUUGGGCGUAAAGGGUGUGUAGGUGGCCAUGUAAGUCAGGUGUGAAAGCCCCGGGCUCAACCCGGGAAGUGCACUUGAUACUGCGUGGCUUGAGUACCGAAGAGGGUAGUGGAAUUCCAGGUGUAGUGGUGAAAUACGUAGAUAUCUGGAGGAACACCGGUGGCGAAGGCGGCUACCUGGUCGAGUACUGACACUGAGACACGGAAGCAUGGGGAUCAAACAGGAUUAGAAACCCGGGUAGUCC